rnacentral:rRNA from 1 species
GUAGGGAAUAUUGCACAAUGGAGGAAACUCUGAUGCAGCGACGCCGCGUGAGUGAUGAAGGCCUUCGGGUCGUAACGCUCUGUCGCAGGGGAAUAACACAAUGAAGGUACCCUGUAAGAAAGGAUCGGCUAACUUCGUGCCAGCAGCCGCGGUAAGACGAGGGAUCCUAGCGUUGUUCGGAAUCAUUGGGCGUAAAGCGGAUGUAGGUGGCUAUGUAAGUCAGAUGUGAAAGCCUGGGGCUCAACCCCAGAUGUGCAUUUGAUACUGCGUAGCUUGAGUGUCGGAGAGGUUACUAGAAUUGUUGGUGUAGUGGUGAAAUACGUAGAUAUCAACAGGAAUACCGGAGGCGAAGGCGGGUAACUGGCCGAACACUGACACUGAGAUCCGAAAGCGUGGGGAUCAAACAGGAUUAGAUACCCGGGUAGUCC